rnacentral:rRNA from 1 species
UACGUAGGGUGCAAGCGUUAAUCGGAAUUACUGGGCGUAAAGCGUGCGCAGGCGGUGAUGUAAGACAGGUGUGAAAUCCCCGGGCUUAACCCUGGGAACUGCAUUUGUGACUGCAUCGCUGGAGUGCGGCAGAGGGGGAUGGAAUUCCGCGUGUAGCAGUGAAAUGCGUAGAUAUGCGGAGGAACACCGAUGGCGAAGGCAAUCCCCUGGGCCUGCACUGACGCUCAGUGCACGAAAGCGUGGGGAGCAAACAGG